rnacentral:rRNA from 1 species
GAUGAACGCUGGCGGCGUGCCUAAUACAUGCAAGUCGAGCGAACGGACGAGAAGCUUUCUUUCCUGAUGUUAGCGGCGGACGGGUGAGUAACACGUAGAUAACCUACCUCUAAUACUUGGAUAACUUCGGAGAACCGCAGAUACUACCAGAUAAUAUUUUGAACCGCAUGGUUCAAAAGUGAAAGACGCUCUUGCUGUCACUUAUAGAUGGAUCCGCGCUGCAUUAGCUAGUUGGUAAGGUAACGGCUUACCAAGGCAACGAUGCAUAGCCGACCUGAGAGGAUGAUCGGCCACACUGGAACUGAGACACGGUCCAGACUCCUACGGGAGGCAGCAGUAGGGAAUAUUCCGCAAUGGGCGAAAGCCUGACGGAGCAACGCCGCGUGAGUGAUGAAGGUCUUCGGAUCGUAAAACUCUGUUGUUAGGGAAGAACAGAUGUGUAAGUAACUGUGCACAUCUUGACGGUACCCAAACAGAAAGCCACGGCUAACUACGUG